CUUUAAUAAAAUCAUGACUUUACGUCAUGUUAAUAAUAAAAUCUGGGAAUUUUAUUAAAGACACGGAGGCUCCUAUUAUGCAAGUUUAAAGCUUAGAAACCACUUGAGAUGCAAAAUGGUCAAUCGGCCUGAAGUAGAAAUCACGAAAGGUCGAUUCCCGUGACCAAUCCGCCGCACGUAGAAUAUCUUCUAGGCGGCAGCCCAUAGCCGCCGCCUUGGAGGCCAUAGCUCCGCGGACUGAAUGAGGGGUGAAUCUAGACGUAUCGAUCCUGGCCAGAGAUAACAAUUCCCGAACCCAUCUCGCCAACGUAGGUGUAGACACCGGAAGGUGUGGGGCUCGAAGCGAGAUGAACAAGGGGCAUAGCUCCGGGGAUCGCAACGGUCGAGUAACCUCGAGGUAGGCCUGAAGGCAUUCGACUGGACAGAUAGCCGGGUUUCCCUGGAAUCUAGGGUAAACAAACACCUUCAAAGCCGACUUCGUUCUCCUGGAUAUGUUAAAGGAGAUGCCCUCCGGAGUGAACGCAAUGGCAUUCCAGUCCAGUGCCCGAACAUCCGACACCCUCUUGCAAGAGAUAAGGCAUAGCAACAUGACCACCUUCACUGACAGCUGUUUCAGUGUGAGAUCCUGAUUUGGAUACCAAGCCGACAAGAAUUGAAGGACCACAUUCACGUCCCAGAAGGCAGUGAAUCUCGCACGGGGCGGUCUGAUGAGACGGAUCCCCUUGAGCAGUCGGCAUACAAAGGGGUGACGUCCUACGGGCGAACCAUCCAAGCCUUGGUGUCCGGCUGAUAUAGCGGAUCGGCAUAGAUUAAUAGUGCGGUACGCCUUCCCAGAUUCAAACAUCUCAGUAAGGAAUUCCAUGAUCACAUGUAAAGGGGCAGAUAUGGGAUCCACUGACCGUUCCACGCACCAACUAGACCAUAUUCUCCAGGCGGAUCGGUACGCCACUCGAGUACCUGGUGCCCAUGCGUUGUCAAGGAGGUCGAGAGUUGAUUGCGGAACCCCUGUGAUAGACCAGGGUCCCCUGAAAGAGGCCAUGCGAUCAGGUGUAGGAGGCCGCGCUCCACCAACUCGUGCGAGUUGCCAUCCGGAUCCCUCAGGAGAUUCGGGAAGGUCGGUAUCAGGCGUGGGUAAUCCGCUGUCAGUUCCAGCAGCCGAGGGAACCAAGGCCGAGACCGCCAUAGUGGUUGAUCAGUACCAACGAGCCGCCGUGUUGCGUCAGUUUCGACAGCGUGCGAGUGUGGCAGAAGCAGCCACAAGAGACUGUACCUGCAUUAUUAUUGCGUUGUAUUUGUCCUAAUAAUCGCUGAAUACCUGGUAUGCGAACCGCUGGAAAGUGCCGAAUGCACGACCACCCUGCUGUGGUCGUGUGCUUCCCCUGUAUAGAGGGAAACAAUGUUGCCAGAGAGGUAAUUGGGUUCGUGGGUGGCCGCCGUUCGCACAAAACCCACGUGGCGGCGGCCAUCUUAACUGCCGAACAGCGGUGUCUGGUCGUCGAGCGCCUGGAACUAAAACCGGGCGCUCGACUACCCAGACACCGCUCAGACCUCCAGGACCACGGAACUGCCCAAUUCAAACUGCCGAACGGCCCGCCGUUCGGUAGGAUGAAUCCCCCAGACUAGGGGAUUCAUCCGAACCUAAGAUUAGAGCCGGAUGGCUGAACAUUCGGUACUUUCAGUUCAGUGUAAUAGACCGACCGCAGGGCCAGAAUCCAUGGAGCUGUUUUCGGCUACCAAAUCCCUGCGGUCGGUCAAAUCUUUGAAUGUCUGUAACUCCCGAACCCCUGGUCUGAUCUGGGUGAAAUUUGAGUAUGUUGCUCACCCAGACCAGACCAACCAGGGGACCCCUCAUUUGUCACCGUACCCCCUGUAUUUAGGGGACAUCCAGAAAUGGGGGAAAACUCUGUUCCCACUAAUGAGCUUAAC
rnacentral:lncRNA from 1 species